rnacentral:lncRNA from 1 species
AGACAAACAGGUUAAACUACUGUGGCUCAGGCAUGGGUCUGUUUUAGAGGGGCUCUAGGGCUGAGAACCUCUGCACCAUAUACUGUUAUAUGGACACAAGAAUUAAAUUUGAGGUGUAUGUCACAUCUUUCUGGAAUCAGUAUUAGUUGAGCCAGGUGAACUUGCCAUUUUUAUAAAAGGUCCAAAGUAACCUGGUAUCAGCUGUGAUAGUUGUAAACACAGCACCUGACAGUCUCUGCCUAGGCCAGGAACACCUCCACCCCUUGUUUCCCAGCUGUAGCUGUUCAUAUCAGCAAAUUUGGGGUGGCCAUCUGGUCCCUCUUCCUGAAAUGGCCUCCCCACACAGGACACCUCCUCUGUGAAGCCUUCCUGACUCCCUCUGCCCCAGCCAAUUGCUUCCUCAUCCUGGUUUCUACUCUCCCUAGUACCCUCCACUCUGUUUGGUCAUCAGUUCAUUUGUCUCCAACCCCAAUGGAUCUGGAAGCUCUGGGAGGGCAGCAACUGAACCAGGAAGAUCUCCUGCCUCCCCCUCACUUGGCAAAGUGCCCAUCUUCCAUCAUCUGGUUUUCUGCCCGUCCUCAAAAGGGGAAAGAUGCGCUUGCCUCCAGGACCUGGCCGGAAGUGAUGGCAAACCAGCCCUUGGGCUGCCCUGAAGUCUGGUCAAUGCGCUUUUUCCUUGGUCAGAUGCUGUUUGAAAAGAGAGCUGGAACACUACAGAUUCUCAGAGUCGAAUCAUCGGAAACACAGGACAAAAUUCAGCAACUGCAGUGACGGCUUAUUCUCAGUCUCCUCUCGUAGAAGCCUCUGGCCUACAAUGUGCCCACCAAGGCCUCUCUAAAGCCCCUUCCUCUACCUACUGAACAAACCCUGCAAGCUCAGUCUGUGAAAAACUGAAAUCCCCUCCCCCUGGUUUCUCCUUAAAAUCAAACUGUUUUGCCCUUGUUGGUUUUUUCUCUUGUCAUUAUUUUUCUUGUUUUGUUUUGGUCUUUGG